UACAGAGGUCUCAAGCGUUGUUCGGAUUCAUUGGGCGUAAAGGGUGUGUAGGUGGCGCUGUAAGUCGGGUGUGAAAUUUCGGAGCUUAACUCCGAAACUGCAUUCGAUACUGCGGUGCUUGAGGACUGGAGAGGAGACUGGAAUUCAUGGUGUAGCAGUGAAAUGCGUAGAGAUCAUGAGGAACACCGGUGGCGAAGGCGGUUCUCUGGGCCUUACCUGACGCUGAGGAGCGAAAGCAUGGGGAGCAAACAGG
rnacentral:rRNA from 1 species